CAUGUGCUUGCUUUCACUGUCAGGGAGAAGCUGGCAGCUCUGAGGGGAGCAGGGUGAAGCCAAAUACUGAACUGCAUGCUGGAGGCUGCUGUUGACUACAAAGGGAGUUGAAGUGACCAGCUGAGAUCAGCUUCUAAAUGGGUAAACCCAGUAUUAAAGGCAGAAAUCAAAGCACAGGACCCAUGGGAAGCGACGUUUCAAAUGUACACCAUUGCUUUUCUUCGUCAUUGUUCUGAACUGUGCACCCUCUGCUCCUGACAGUGCACCCACAACAAGAUAAGGAGGU
rnacentral:lncRNA from 1 species